ACCCAUAGUGACAAUAGCACAUGCACUUUCUACACAGAAACAAGAACAAGACACUUGUUUGAUUGAAAAGUGUUCAUGAAUCUAAUUUUUAGAAUACAAUUGGAAUGGCAUAUUUAGACAUGUUUUUAUUUUGAAGUGAGUUUCGCUAUGAUUUGAGAGAUCAAAGCAUGGCGAGGAAACACAGCAUGAUCAUGUCAGUGGAUCAUUUUGAUUCCAAAUGUUGUGUCCUAUUACCAAAUUUGCUGCUGAUUUAUGCAUGUGUGUUUGGGCUGAGCCAACAAGAAACAGACCAUCUGGAGGGCUCUUUUUGAUGUAAAAAUGAGAGGACAAAAUAUUCACUAUCCGUUGUAGUCUCACUGAGAAGUGGAUUUAAAUCUAGGUGGCCCAGAGAGUCCUUAAAAGCACAGUAUGUUCCAAAUUUUAGGUCAUGAGCAGUAAGUGUGUUAGCAGGGGGCAUUAGAGUGGUAGCGAGCAUCUAUAAUAGGAACUAUAAUAUAUUAAAGGAGCACAAAACUGCCUCCAUCUCUCCCAUUGUGGGAUAUGAAUACACACAGAGCUCGAGCAAGGUACCUUGGUUUUGUUGAGGUCCUAGGAGUGACUUGCAGGAUUCUCACCAACCAGAACCAUGCUCAGGGUUCACCUCGAGCCUCGGUGUGUCAGGCCUGGGAACAAGAGGAGCAAGUUUGCCACGAGACUUUGGUACUUCGUGAGACACCUCAGAGGUUCUAACAGCCUCUCUGCAGCUGGCGAGUACAAGAUGAAGCAAGGUGUUUCUGAGAGCUGGAAUUGGUCCAGGAGUUGUCUUGGAUGCCACUGGAUCACAAGGUGCCAUGGCCCAGGGUCUCUAAUGAUUGACAGGUGAUGAGCCCUUAGCACAGCUAGCUCUAUUUGGUCCUUUGCGGACACUGAUAUUUCACUGUCGUCACUGAAACGUGGCUCUCUUUGCAGUCUAUGUAACUAGUGUGGUCAGCGUUAGAAGUAAAAUCUCUUGCUUAUAAAAGGCUUCCAUGAAUAUGUUAGUUUGGAAUGCCUUUCUCAACUUGCUCUGUGCACAAGGAGAGGAAAGGCGGUGCCCUUUCAAGUUUAACCAGAUCACAGAAUGACUGUUAUCUUUAACACUUUUAAGGUACCCUUAACUGUGAAGUAAAGUGUAAAUUAGCAGGAAAAACAUGUUUGGUUUCCUGACGAAGAGGGAGAAGUUUCAACAGUUGACAUCCAGCUGAUUUUUUGGUUUUGGCUCAUAAGUGUUCUGUUUUUAAUAGUGCUGACAAAACUUCUGAAAGUGAGGCAUAUAGUGCAUAAAAGAACACAAGUCCCCAUCUUAAAGAAUCUUGUUGGAUUAAUUUCCUACAGCAUAUAUAUGUUUUGUUUAUAGAAUUUAUUAAUAAUGUGCAUCUUAUGCACCUUUUUUGUAUUACAGAGAUACAUAUAUAUGUAGCAGUAUAAUGUUUGCAUCUUUUUCAAGUUCAAUCUCCCAAUUUAGUGAACUUUAAUAUUUUCUAAUUAUGUUAACUUCUUUUUUACUCAAAACACGGUAAAUUGUGAUUAUUUUACUCCAUUAAAAAUACUUUCAGAUGGUCCAAAGAUUUAAAUUAAGUGCGCGUGUUAUGUUGGUAUUUAAUUACAUGCUUGAGAUUUCUAUUGCCAGUGAAAAUAUUUUACUCUCUUUAGAAAUAAAUUUAUACUUCAUAUUGAUAGCUUUAAUAAA
rnacentral:lncRNA from 12 species